rnacentral:lncRNA from 1 species
UUGCCUCCAGAGGGAAUGAAAAGGAGAAGGGGCCAUGAGAUUUAUUCUAUAGUCAUUCUGCCAAGCAGCAUGGCCUCUAAUUGGGUCGAACAAAUGCUCUAUAUGGAGAACCACCAUAUAUGCAUUUAACUUGCAGACUAACAGCCCAAGUGUGAGAGACGACGAUGUAAAUAGUGCGGGAGACUCCCUAGAGUGAGUGUGACAUGUGAGGUCGGAAUCUGCUGUCCAGCCACUCUGAGCUCCUUCAGUCUCUCUUAGACGUGAACAUGUGCUCUGGCCUAAGUGUGAUCCUAGUUUUUCAAGAUUUGCAUAUUUUGAACAAUGUGGCUUCUACUAAGAGCCAAUGACUGCAUUUGGUACCCAGCCAAAGAAAACAGAAAAUGGUUCCACUUCUAGAAUUAAAACAAAACAAACAACUAUGCUGGUCUCAUUAAGAGAAGUCAUGUGGCCUCCAACACAAUGUCUUCCCAAGGAAUUUUUCAGAGUGAUUUUGAUUACAUGCGACUUUUCCUUCUCUGAACUUUAGAACCCCAAGUAACCUCCUCGUACCAUGAAAGAUCGGAGGCAG